UCCCACCUUUAGAAUAGUUAGAUAGUUAGUUAAAUCGUUAAGUUUUUGGAGGCGAGUUGGAUAGAAGUUGGUCGAGUCGAGAGUCGUGGUCGUGUUUCCGCUUAGAUCCAUCCUUGGAGAAAGCUAGUCGGAUCGAGAUCAAUAGGCGGACAAGGGUAGAAUGUCGUUUUCUCGACGUUAAGGCCAAGGUAAUCAUAGUUGGGAGACCUUUGGGAAAGAACAGACGCUGAACACUGGUGUAGAGUUUGUUGCCUUUAUAAAGAAAUAUUUGGAAUAUGUAUUGUAUGACUCGAUUUGGGCAUUAGGCCUUGGCGCCAAACGCGUAUGUAUUUUAAGUUAUU